GACGAACGCUGGCGGCGUGCUUAACACAUGCAAGUCGAACGGAAAGGCCCUGCUUUUGUGGGGUGCUCGAGUGGCGAACGGGUGAGUAACACGUGAGUAACCUGCCCUUGACUUUGGGAUAACUUCAGGAAACUGGGGCUAAUACCGGAUAGGAGCUCCUGCUGCAUGGUGGGGGUUGGAAAGUUUCGGCGGUUGGGGAUGGACUCGCGGCUUAUCAGCUUGUUGGUGGGGUAGUGGCUUACCAAGGCUUUGACGGGUAGCCGGCCUGAGAGGGUGACCGGCCACAUUGGGUCUGAGAUACGGCCCAGACUCCUACGGGAGGCAGCAGUGGGGAAUAUUGCACAAUGGGCGGAAGCCUGAUGCAGCAACGCCGCGUGCGGGAUGACGGCCUUCGGGCUGUAAACCGCUUUCGCCUGUGACGAAGCGUGAGUGACGGUAAUGGGUAAAGAAGCACCGGCUAACUACGUG
rnacentral:rRNA from 1 species